CGACCCGUAUGCAUUUAGAGAAAAAUGAGAACCUAGUUAUUCUUGAUCUUUCCUGGAGUAAGGUUACAGAGUCCUGGGGAGGUUGGAAUAGAAUAAAGAUGGAGCAUUUGAAAGUCUUGAACCUUACAGGUUGUACGGACCUAUUAGUUACCCCGAGCUUCUCGUGUUGCCCAAAUUUGGAGAUACUGAUCCUUGAGCGAUGUUCUCGAUUGGUU